rnacentral:tRNA from 1 species
GCGGGAGUGGCGAAAUAGGCAGACGCACGAGACUUAAAAUCUUGUGGGCCUCGGCCCGUGGGGGUUCGAUUCCCCCCUCCCGCA